UUUUUUGAGAGUUUGAUCCUGGCUCAGGAUGAACGCUGGCGGCGUGCCUUAAGCAUGCAAGUCGAACGAUUGAAACUUUGUAGCAAUACAGAGUGGAUCUAGUGGCAGACGGGUGAGUAAUACAUAGGAAUCUACCUCUUGGUGGGGAAUAGCUCGCCGAAAGGCGGGGUAAUACCGCAUACGAUCUACGGAUCAAAGACCUUUACCGGUCGCCGAGAGAGGAGCCUGUGUCCCAUCAGCUAGUUGGUAAGGUAAUGGCUUACCAAGGCUACGACGGGUAGGGGAUGUGAGAGCAUGAUCCCCCACAAGGACACU
rnacentral:rRNA from 1 species